rnacentral:rRNA from 1 species
UAAAGAUUCAUCGCUGAUAGAUAGGCAUGCGUUCCAUUAGGCAGUUGGCGGGGUAACGGCCCACCAAACCGACGAUGGAUAGGGGUUCUGAGAGGAAGGUCCCCCACAUUGGUACUGAGACACGGACCAAACUCCUACGGGAGGCAGCAGUGAGGAAUAUUGGUCAAUGGGCGUAAGCCUGAACCAGCCAAGUCGCGUGAGGGGUGAAGGUUCUAUGGAUCGUAAACCUCUUUUAUAAGGGAAUAAAGUGUGGGACGUGUCCUAUUUUGUAUGUACCUUAUGAAUAAGGAUCGGCUAACUCCGUGCCAGCAGCCGCGGUAAUACGGAGGAUCCGAGCGUUAUCCGGAUUUAUUGGGUUUAAAGGGUGCGUAGGCGGCCUUUUAAGUCAGCGGUGAAAGUCUGUGGCUCAACCAUAGAAUUGCCGUUGAAACUGGGGGGCUUGAGUAUGUUUGAGGCAGGCGGAAUGCGUGGUGUAGCGGUGAAAUGCUUAGAUAUCACGCAGAACCCCGAUUGCGAAGGCAGCCUGCCAAGCCAUGACUGACGCUGAUGCACGAAAGCGUGGGGAUCAAACAGGAUUAGAUACCCUGGUAGUCCACGCAGUAAACGAUGAUCACUAGCUGUUUGCGAUACAGUGUAA